GCUGAAGAGCUGAAUCAGCUUGCUACCCAUUGGUAGCUUUUAGAAGUUUCUCUCUUUAGGGCUUUUCCACCGUGAAUCACUAGAGAAAGCCCCUGUCCUGUUGCCCAGUGGUCAUUGUGACAAGAGAAAGUCCCUCAGAAGCAUCAGGAGGCAUAAAACAAGAAAGUUGUGCAUGGUGUGAGUUUUACAGCAACUUGGCUAAGUAUAUCUUGCUUUUUAUUUAUCCUGUUUGAGAUUGAUUAGACUUCCUGAAACUGAGGAUUCAUGCCAUACAACAAUUCUGGAAAAUACUUAGCCAUUAUCUCUUUAAAUAUUGUCUUUCCUCCAUUCUUCGUGUUCUUUUCUUCCAGGAGUCCAUUUGAACGUCCCAAACCAGUGAGUCUGAAUCCGGUGACCUUUGAAAGAGAAGGAACCCGGGCACCUUCGUUUGGCGGUGGGUCCCACUGGAGCCAGUGCCCCAAAGAAAGCACCAUAACCAGCACCUCAGGGAAAGACUCAGAAAUGCGGUGUGACCAUGAUUACAACCAGCGCUGGAUGUGAUAGCUCGGUUGUCAUGCUGUU